rnacentral:lncRNA from 10 species
AAAACCAUGGAGAGGACUGGAGUGGAGACCAUGGGAUGAGUUCCAAACUUAUGGGGAAAUUAAUAACAGUCCCCGCAGAGUUGACUGAGCGGAGUUCGGGCUGAAACUAUUUCAUGCUGAAGUGGAUGGAGGUGGCACACGGAAGAAGAAUCAUAAGCUAUGGCAUGAGACAGCCCUGGAUUCAAAUCCUACUUCUUCCUAUUCUCUGUGUGACCAAAGAGAAUGACAGAGCCUUACCUAAUAAGACACUCGAUAUUCUAUAGUUAACUAGCCCAGCAAGUAAAUCAUAAAUUGCAUUAAAAAUGUCUUG